UUGGUGUGUUUUUUUUUCUUCUUAACAAUUAAACACAUGUAGAAUAGAACUAUGUGAUUUCUAGUGCAUUUACGUAUAUAUAAACAUAGCGAUGCUAUAGCAUUUGUUCAGUUGGAAAAAAAAAACCUUAGGUAGGUACAAUUGCGGAGUCACAUGGCGAUGAGCCGAUGACCGAUGAAGGGGAUGUUUGGUUGGUUGUUUGAUGAUAAUGAAUGAAAUUGUUUGAUGAACGAUUAUAUGAUGGCUCAAGUUAGAAAGAUUAUUCCAUUCACCCCAUUCCAUUAUUUAGACGAUUUAUGUACCUACAUGGAAAAAUUAAUGAAGAGGAGGUAUCUUUGGUAGAAGUAGGACCUACUGAUGCAAACGUGUAGACCACCAAUAGGAGAGCAGCGCGGUGGAGUUGAGUCCGCUUGGUCUGCAUCAAAAUGGGACCAUAUGCACUAUUCUUUUGGUCUUUGUUUGCAUUUUUUUAAAGUCCAAUUUCAUUUCUAGCUAUUUUCCUGUCAUUUAUUCUAAAUAGAUUUUGUAUUUUAAUAA